UCUAGUAAGGACAAAGCCAAGUUUCCACUUCUCCCAGAGGCCUCCUUGACUUCCCCUUUCUGAUCCGGAAGCUCUCACCACCUGCUCCAUUUGGCACAUGGCCAUGGUCCCACUUGGGGGCUUUUCUUAACUGUUACCUCAUAUAAUAAAACCAUUGUGUUGUCAUUUGGCUUUCCACUUUGAAGUUUGGUGCUUUCUCUGCCUUACACCUUCCCUGGGACAAAGGUCAUUCAUUGGUCUUUGUGCCUCAACAGUUGCUGUCAUGUGCAGAGCACACAGUAAGUCACUGCACCAAGAAUGUGAGAGCAUGUGGCAAGCCCCUCUCUCUUCUGGCCAUGCUCUGCGACUUAGAAGAGGAAACACAACAGCCUCAGAAGACACUCAGCCCUGAUAGAGGGACACUGAUCUGCAGAGGCACACCCACUGAAAGAUAACCAAACAGAGGGAGGAGCCAAGAUGGCGGAACAGCACGGGAGUUUUUUGUGUAUAUCAUGUCCAUGAAAUACAGCCAGACCAACACCAAACCAUCCUUCACACCUAGAAAACUUAUUGGAGGAUUAAGAAAACAAUCUGCACAACCUGAACCACAGAAUUAAGCAGGGGUCAGGCAACAUGCUACUUACUCCCUCAUGUGUUUCAUCUUGGUCGCGGCCACUGUGCUGUUGAACGUUGUUAGUCCUGGGGACACGUCUGGAGCUGUGCUGGGGAUCGUCCUUGCAUCUGAAAAUCAAUGCACAGCCCUUAUUGACUCCAUCAGCACCCCGGCAACUUCCAGACAACAUUCAAGGGCAAUCAGAAAACAGAAGUUAAUCCACCUGUGCCACUAGAAAGGAUAGGGGAGGAACCAAGGUGGCGGAAAAGCAUGGAAGCUUUUUGUGUGUCUCAUGUCCAUGAAAUACAGCCAGACCAACACUAAACCAUCCUACACACCUAGAAAACUGAUUGCAGGAUUAACACAACAAUCUGCACAACCUGAAUCACAGAAUUCAGCAGGUACACGGAAUGGAGAGCUGAACUUGCGGAGCAAGAAGCCGCGGAAGGCUGGCACCUGGCCGCAGUCUUGGGGCACCGGCAACAGCAGGGUCCAGCGGGCAUUCCUGGGUGCAGCCGACAUUCAGCCCUUGUUCAUUCGGCCACUGCUCAGUGAGACCCUCCCAUAGAGGGGCAGAAUGGGUCAAAGCCGCAGUCCUUUGGAAGUAAGGGGCUGGGGAAAACAGCCACAUCUGAGACAAAACUUGGGAGAGAGGGCUCUCCUGGGGGCACUCCCAGAUAAAGGUCCUGCCCGCUCAACUUUACGUCAGAGGCUGCUUCCUGAAGAACCCAGGCCAUGACACAUGGGUACCUGGUUGGGAGGAUGUGGGGGCAUGAAGGUGGUUCUCUCAUUGACUUCAACAAGUUGAGUAAUAAAUAAGAAUGAUAAUAAAUAUACAAAUGGAACCCUAUACUCCCCCCCCCCCCUACACACACACACUUUUGCGAUUCUUUCAGAGUACUAUUCUGUAGGUACAGGGCAGAAACCGCCAACCAAGGAAGUUGUUGCCAACGGUGCAGCAACAGCUGUGUCUGAGACAAACCCCAUGAGGAGACUGGCGAAGAAAGCAGUCAGGGGGAAAGAAGAAGGUCCAGGAAGGAACAAUCUCC